rnacentral:rRNA from 1 species
GACGAACGCUGGCGGCGUGCUUAACACAUGCAAGUCGAACGGAAAGGCCCUGCUUGCAGGGUACUCGAGUGGCGAACGGGUGAGUAACACGUGGGUGAUCUGCCCUGCACUUCGGGAUAAGCCUGGGAAACUGGGUCUAAUACCGGAUAGGAGCCAUUUUUAGUGUGAUGGUUGGAAAGUUUUUUCGGUGUAGGAUGAGCUCGCGGCCUAUCAGCUUGUUGGUGGGGUAAUGGCCUACCAAGGCGGCGACGGGUAGCCGGCCUGGGAGGGUGGACGGCCACAUUGGGACUGAGAUACGGCCCAGACUCCUACGGGAGGCAGCAGUGGGGAAUAUUGCACAAUGGGCGCGAGCCUGAUGCAGCGACGCCGCGUGGGGGAUGACGGGCUUCGGGUUGUAAACUCCUUUCGCUAGGGACGAAGCUUUUUGUGACGGUACCUAGAUAAGAAGCACCGGCUAACUACGUG